AUUGAACGCUGGCGGCAGGCCUAACACAUGCAAGUCGAGCGGAUGAAGGGAGCUUGCUCCUGGAUUCAGCGGCGGACGGGUGAGUAAUGCCUAGGAAUCUGCCUGGUAGUGGGGGAUAACGUCCGGAAACGGGCGCUAAUACCGCAUACGUCCUGAGGGAGAAAGUGGGGGAUCUUCGGACCUCACGCUAUCAGAUGAGCCUAGGUCGGAUUAGCUAGUUGGUGGGGUAAAGGCCUACCAAGGCGACGAUCCGUAACUGGUCUGAGAGGAUGAUCAGUCACCCUGGAACUGAGACACGGUCCAGACUCCUACGGGAGGCAGCAGUGGGGAAUAUUGGACAAAGGGCGAAAGCCUGAUCCAGCCAUGCCGCGUGUGUGAAGAAGGUCUUCGGAUUGUAAAGCACUUUAAGUUGGGAGGAAGGGCAGUAAGUUAAUACCUUGCUGUUUUGACGUUACCAACAAAAUAAGCACCGGCUAACUUCGUG
rnacentral:rRNA from 1 species